GCAAUACAAUAAGCGGAGGAAAAGAAACUAACAAGGAUUCCCCUAGUAGCGGCGAGCGAAGCGGGAAGAGCUCAAAUUUAUAAUCUGGCACCUUCGGUGUCCGAGUUGUAAUCUCUAGAAGUGUUUUCCGCGUUGGACCGCACACAAGUCUGUUGGAAUACAGCGGCAUAGUGGUGAAACCCCCGUAUAUGGUGCGGACGCCCAGCGCUUUGUGAUACACUUUCAAUGAGUCGAGUUGUUUGGGAAUGCAGCUCAAAUUGGGUGGUAAAUUCCAUCUAAAGCUAAAUAUUGGCGAGAGACCGAUAGCGAACAAGUACCGUGAGGGAAAGAUGAAAAGCACUUUGGAAAGAGAGUUAACAGUACGUGAAAUUGUUGGAAGGGAAACGCUUGAAGUCAGACUUGCUUGCCGGAGCUUGCUUCGGUUUGCAGGCCAGCAUCAGUUUUCCGGGGUGGAUAAUGACGGUUUGAAGGUAGCAGUCUCGGCUGUGUUAUAGCUUUCCGUUGGAUACAUCCUGGGGGACUGAGGAACGCAGCGUGCUUUUUGCGAAAGACUCGUCUUUUUCACGCUUAGGAUGCUGGUGGAAUGGCUUUAAACGACCCGUCUUGAAACACGGACC
rnacentral:rRNA from 1 species